rnacentral:lncRNA from 1 species
CAGUCAGAUAAACAGGUAGACAGUCAGAAGCAGGUAGACAGUCAGAAACAGGUAGACAGACAGAUAAACAGGUAGACAGUCAGAUAGACAGGUAGACAGACAGAUAAACAGGUAGACAGACAGAUAGACAGGUAGACAGACAGGUAGACAGUCAGAUAGACAGGUAGACAGUCAGAUAAACAGGUAGAAAGGCAGAUAGACAGGUAGACAGUCAGGUAGUUAGGUAGACAGACAGAUAAACAGGUAGACAGGCAGAUAAACAGGUAGACAGACAGAUAAACCGGUAGACAGUCAGAUAGACAGUCAGAUAGACAGGUAGACAGACAGAUAAACAGGUAGACAGUCAGAUAAACAGGUAGACAGGCAGAUAGACAGGUAGACAGACAGAUAAACAGGUAGACAGACAGAUAGACAGGUAGACAGGUAGAUAAACAGGUAGACAGACAGAUAAACAGGUAGACAGUCAGAUAGACAGGUAGACAGUCAGAUAGACAGGUAGACAGACAUAUAAAUCGGUAGACAGUCAGAUAAACAGGUAGACAGACAGGUAGACAGUCUGAUAGACAGGUAGACAGACAGAUAGACAGUCAGAUAGACAGGUAGACAAACAGAUAAACAGGUAGACAGACAGGUAGACAGUCAGGUAGUUAGGUAGACAGACAGAUAAACAGGUAGACAGGCAGGUAGACAGUCAGAUAGACAGGUAGAUAGACAGAUAAACAGGUAGACAGACAGAUAAACAGGUAGACAGACAGAUAGACAGGUAUACAGGUAGAUAAACAGGUAGACAGACAGAUAAACAGGUAGACAGUCAGAUAGACAGGUAGACAGUCAGAUAGACAGGUAGACAGACAGAUAAACCGGUAGACAGUCAGAUAGACAGGUAGACAGACAGAUAAACAGGUAGACAGUCAGAUAGACAGGUAGACAGACAGAUAAACAGGUAGACAGUCAGAUAAACAGGUAGUCAGACAGGUAGACAGUCUGAUAGACAGGUAGACAGACAGAUAGACAGGUAGACAGACAGACAGAUAGACAGGUAGACAGUUAGUAAGACUGUCAGAUAAACAGGCAGACAGUCAGAUAAACAGGUAGACAGUCAGAUAGACAGGUAGACAGUCAGAUAGACAGGUAGACAGACAG